rnacentral:rRNA from 1 species
AGAGCGAACGCUGGCGGCGUGCUUAACACAUGCAAGUCGAGUGCGUCGCCUGUAGCAAUACAGGUGGCGCACGGCGCACGGGUGCGUAACACGUGGGUAAUCUGCCCUUCGGAUGGGGAAUAACUCCGGGAAACCGAAGCUAAUUCCGCAUAACAUUCCUUGGACCUCGGUCUGGGGAUUCAAAGCCGUAAGGCGUCGGGAGGAGGAACCCGCGCUACGAUUAGUUAGUGGCAGGUAACGGCCUACCAAGACUUGAUCGUUAGC